GACGAACGCUGGCGGCGUGCUUAACACAUGCAAGUCGAACGGAAAGGCCCUGCUUUUGUGGGGUGCUCGAGUGGCGAACGGGUGAGUAACACGUGAGUAACCUGCCCUUGACUUUGGGAUAACUUCAGGAAACUGGGGCUAAUACCGGAUAGGAGCUCCUGCUGCAUGGUGGGGGUUGGAAAGUUUCGGCGGUUGGGGAUGGACUCGCGGCUUAUCAGCUUGUUGGUGGGGUAGUGGCUUACCAAGGCUUUGACGGGUAGCCGGCCUGAGAGGGUGACCGGCCACAUUGGGACUGAGAUACGGCCCAGACUCCUACGGGAGGCAGCAGUGGGGAAUAUUGCACAAUGGGCGGAAGCCUGAUGCAGCAACGCCGCGUGCGGGAUGACGGCCUUCGGGUUGUAAACCGCUUUCACUGUGACGAAGCGUGAGUGACGGUAAUGGGUAAAGAAGCACCGGCUAACUACGUG
rnacentral:rRNA from 1 species